rnacentral:lncRNA from 1 species
CAAUGAGGAGAUGAGAAAUGCAGGACUUGCAGCGAGAUCUAUUUUAGCCCGUGCAAUAAUUGAAUAACAUAGAUUUCUAAAUUUAUUUUUGCAACGCUCGCGUGAGGUCAGUCUGUAACGCUAGCUUGCUAACGUUAGCUCUUUUUUUUAAAUUGUAAUGACCUGGCUAGAUCGUAAAGGAACAAUUGUCCAGACAAUUGAUUGGUUAAUAAACCGUGAUUUCGUAACCUCAAACUCCACACAGGCUACUGUUUGGAACCACCAGGAUGCGUGGCAUCAGAACAUUCCAGGCAUUCCCGUGAUUGGCAGGUAGUAGGUUAAUUGGCAGGUCGGACCCCGCGAACACUGGGUACUGGUUAGCAUUGAAGAGUUUUCCCCCACAGCCAGGAUGACCAAGUGCCCACACUUUGACAGGAACAUUCUGUGUCCACCAUCAACACAGGAGCUGGGGGACCUGAUGGAGGAGGCUCGCAUGCGCAUCCUGAAGGCACAGGUCUGGGUCACUUCACUGGAUCACACUCAAAACUAUAUUCAUGAUGCCAUCAUAUUCACCCUGACCUCACGUAAAGUGGUAGUGGUUCUACACACCUCACUAUUUCAAGUCCUGACCAGGCUUAAUUGAGAGGGAGAAAGAGGGAGCAGGAUGGCGGAUCAAGGCUGUGUACCUUUAGAGCAACUAUCUUCUUAGAUAGAACCAUCAAAGGAA